AAGCGGCGGACGGGUGAGUAACGCGUGGGUAACCUGCCCUGUACACACGGAUAACAUACCGAAAGGUAUGCUAAUACGAGAUAAAAUACUUUUAUCGCAUGGUAGAAGUAUCAAAGCUUUUGCAGUACAGGAUGGACCCGCGUCUGAUUAGCUAGUUGGUAAGGUAACGGCUUACCAAGGCGACGAUCAGUAGCCGACCUGAGAGGGUGAUCGGCCACAUUGGAACUGAGACACGGUCCAAACUCCUACGGGAGGCAGCAG
rnacentral:rRNA from 1 species